rnacentral:rRNA from 1 species
AGUGAACGCUGGCGGUAGACCUAACACAUGCAAGUCGAACGGCAGCACAGUAAGAGCUUGCUCUUACGGGUGGCGAGUGGCGGACGGGUGAGGAAUACAUCGGAAUCUACUUUUUCGUGGGGGAUAACGUAGGGAAACUUACGCUAAUACCGCAUACGACCUACGGGUGAAAGCAGGGGAUCUUCGGACCUUGCGCGAUUGAAUGAGCCGAUGUCGGAUUAGCUAGUUGGCGGGGUAAAGGCCCACCAAGGCGACGAUCCGUAGCUGGUCUGAGAGGAUGAUCAGCCACACUGGAACUGAGACACGGUCCAGACUCCUAAGGGAGGAAGCAGUGGGGAAUAUUGGACAAUGGGGGCAAGCCUGAUCCAGCCAUACCGCGUGGGUGAAGAAGGCCUUCGGGUUGUAAAGCCCUUUUGUUGGGAAAGAAAAGCAGCAGGUUAAUACCCCGCUGUUCUGACGGUACCCAAAGAAUAAGCACCGGCUAACUUCGUG